GUGGCUUGCCUGGGGGGAGGGGGGGGCUGGGGCUGGAGCGAGGAGCCCAUUGGGCACGACCGCACCAACCCUAGCUCCCGAUCCAAAGCCACGCACUCCUCCCUCCCCCUCUCACAGCCGCCACACCCCAUUCCUCUCUUCCUCCUCCCUCCUUCCCAGAUCCCUGCCACCGCCACACCGAGUCGGCCGAUGGUGAGGUGAAAGAGGAGGGUAGGCGACCCGUCGCGAUGGGAUGAGGCUACAGGGAAGAGGGUCAUGUCGCGUGGUGGCCCAGAUGCGGCCGCCCCAUGGCUGGCCUCGACGAGCACGGCCUCGAUCCGGCCUCAGCCGGAGGACCUCGAGCCGAGGAGUGCGGCCUCGAUCGGGACUCGGCAUCUGGGGCGACGACGGAGGAGGAGGGGAAAGCAGGGGAGCAGCAGCCAGCAUCUGGGGCGGCGGCGGCUGGACUCUUCUCCUGUCUCGCCUCGGCCGCCUCCUCUCCUCCCCGCGUCGUCGGCCCCUCCCUCCUCCUCCCUCCUUCGUCCUCACAGCCGACCAUCUCCGUCACUUGGGCCCCAUGGCAACGACAGGGUCUUCCGGUCGGAAUUUAGACGAGGAAAAGGUGAAAUCGAGCGUCUCGAUGGUGCCAUGACUGAUACACGGCGACGGCUAGCGUCUAUGAGCGCCACACAUGGUGCAGCAGGCUCGGCGGGCAGCGGGCGCGGCAGGCUCGGCAGGCAGCGGGCGCAGCGGUCAAGGCCAGGGGUGCGGAUUGGGGGAGAUGCGCACACGAGGAGCGACGGCGACCGCUUCUGCUGCCAACACCGAAGUGAGCUUCACCCAAUCUCUUUCUUACUCUAUCCGUGCGGCCUCCUCCCCUUGGCCCCUGAUUCAUCGAUGAGGCAUGCCAUGGUUGUGUGUUCGCAAACCCUUCCCUUUUAUCCUCUUCUCAGGAAACGAGGCAUGAGGAGACGAUGCUCUUCUGCAGCCUCAUAGUUUCUCUUUGAUUUUAGCUAUAUGUAGCCACUUUUCUUGAUUAAGUUCAGAAAAUGGCAAUGGGUGGUUGAAUAGUUCAAGUUGGUUCAUAUGCUUUGUGUAAAAUUGUUUUCAUAGAUCAUGUUAUGCACUUAGAAUGCAUCCAAUCAUUUUUUACUUCGCAAGAUGAUGUUGCGAGCGUACAUUUAGACUGGACAGAGAUAGCAAUAUACCAAGAGUUCUAAGAAUUGGAUUCAUAAAAGCAGGGAUGUUAUUGAUUCAUCUAAGCUGCUCUAUCUAAUUGUAUUUUAUUAAGACCCUGCCAUUUUAAAUAUAGCUUUUACAUUCCUAUUUGGUAAAUAAGUGCUAACAGAAAGACGGAAACACACUUUUUAAAAUGUUUUGUGCUAGGUAAAUGAUGCUGCACAACAAAAUACGAUUGCCUUUGUGUCUUACAUAACUCAUUUGUGUGUAUUCAGGCCAUACUGCCAGUACAUUCCAAGUGGAAUGGAGUACCCAGUUUUGUCCAGAAAGUUGUGGCCUUCCGGUGGUUCUUUUGCAAUGAGGGUCUCAAUGCUAACCAUAUUGCAUUUCCAUUUUCAGGGUGUCCUUUUACUGGGUACCCACCCUCCAGUGCAUAUAUUUGCAUGAUGAUGUAAUGUCAGACCAACUUUCUGGUUUAAGUCCAUUGUUUGGCGCCAACGUGCAUUUGGUGUUGAUUGCUGGCUGGCCGACUGCGGUGUGCUACCGGUGAUGAGAUCCAGGAGGAGGUGGCGGCGAACAGGGAGUCGACGUAGGGAUGAACUUCCGAUUAAGAUGCAGAGCUGCUGUUUUUAUCAUGUUGUUCUUAUCCUGCUCACUGUGAUAUUUGUGGAAAAUAUUUGCACUGUGGUUUGGUUAAGAUAUAGAGCUACUAUUUUUGUUCUGCAUUACCUCGUGGGUCUUAUUAUAUGGAUUAAGUACAAGGCAUCUGUGGUUCAAAAGUUUUUAGUAACUUUUGUUUAUCUUUACUGUCUGGUGUCGAAUUGACCGAUUAGUCGGUUGAGUUGAUUGUAAAUGAUUGCCCAAUGUGGUUAUCUGAAGAUUGUAGUUUACCAUAUAUGCUUACUACAAAAUGCUUAUUUCGCUUCACAUGUAAGGCUGUAACAGGAUGCAUUUCUCUCACCAGGACCUUUUUGCUUGCAUUCUCGUGUCUUUUGGCAAGGAGAAAAUUAUCAUUUGGAGGGGAAAAGACAGAUGAAAACAUGCAAGAUAGUAUAUGCAAUUGACAUACCCUUCAGUUCUUGAAUCAGAGUUCAGUGGUGAAGAACACUACAAUUUUUUGGUUGAUGGAUUGGUCUGAAUAUAUUGUAAGGGAUUUUGCAUGAAGUGGUUAUUCAAAGAAUGGACCCGAUUUUAUGAUUUUACUGAAUGGAUAUGGUAUAACCUCCAUGAUAUUUGAGUGGUCCAGAAUCAAGACGCCCCGAGAAUUUUACCCUUCGAUGAACAAUGCAAGAUUUUGCCUAUUCUCUGAGAUGGAUGAUGAUGAGCGGUGCAACCGAAAAUUCAGAGCUGGGCUUUACACACUUCAGUGAUUAAGUGAAGUUCCAGUUUUUCUUCUGUACCCUAUUACUGCUCUCUUGUACAGAGAGCAGUGAGUUUAUAUUAGCUAAAUGUUAGAUUGGAAUGCAGGAGUAGCAUGACAACACCAAGGUAGAGACCUGAAGAGAAGCAAGGGGAUGGACCAAGGAAACUAGAACUGUGUUGUCGUGAUGUGGGUCGUGUCGUCUUCGUCUAUCUCCAUGGAGGCAUAUAUACAUAGGUUAGGUAUAGGAAAGGAGACCGUCUCCAUGGAACUCUGACUGAUGUGUAAUGUCCUCAUAGGACUGGACCGUUUACAGAGGGAGUACUUGAAAAUAGAUUCUUUAUAUAUUGUUUGGUUCCAUCAGCCACAUAACCUAAAUUAGCAAUUAGGUAUCUAAACAGUGUAGUGUAACCAUUGUGCUUGCUGCAGUUUUACUUUAGUGUUGAAAUGUUUUUGUUGGCUUGUUCUGUACUACGAAAUAUUUUUGUUUUCCCAGCCAUUGUUUUCUAAAUCCUAUCAACAUAUUACCUGAUAUGGCCUUUGAAGUUUC